UACGUAGGGUGCAAGCGUUGUCCGGAAUUAUUGGGCGUAAAGAGCUCGUAGGCGGUUUGUCGCGUCGAAUGUGAAAACCCGGGGCUCAACCCCGGGCCUGCAUUCGAUACGGGCAGACUAGAGUUCGGUAGGGGAGACUGGAAUUCAUGGUGUAGCAGUGAAAUGCGUAGAGAUCAUGAGGAACACCGGUGGCGAAGGCGGGUCUCUGGGCCGAUACUGACGCUGAGGAGCGAAAGCGUGGGGAGCGAACAGG
rnacentral:rRNA from 1 species